rnacentral:rRNA from 1 species
CCUACGGGAGGCUGCAGUCGAGAAUCAUUCACAAUGGGGGAAACCCUGAUGGUGCGACGCCGCGUGGGGGAAUGAAGGUCUUCGGAUUGUAAACCCCUGUCAUGUGGGAGCAAAUUAAAAAGAUCGUACCACAAGAGGAAGAGACGGCUAACUCUGUUCCACCAGCCGCGGUAAUACAGAGGUCUCAAGCGUUGUUCGGAAUCACUGGGCGUAGAGCGUGCGUAGGCUGUUUCGUAAGUCGUGUGUGAAAGGCGCGGGCACAAACCGCGGACGGCACAUGAUACUGCGAGACUAGAGUUAUGGAGGGGGAAGCGGAAUUCGCGGUGUAGCAGUGAAAUGCGUAGAUAGCGAGAGGAACAC